rnacentral:rRNA from 1 species
CACUCCUACGGGAGGCAGCAGUGGGGAAUUUUGGACAAUGGGCGAAAGCCUGAUCCAGCCAUGCCGCGUGCAGGAUGAAGGCCUUCGGGUUGUAAACUGCUUUUGUACGGAACGAAACGGCCUUUUCUAAUAAAGAGGGCUAAUGACGGUACCGUAAGAAUAAGCACCGGCUAACUACGUGCCAGCAGCCGCGGUAAUACGUAGGGUGCAAGCGUUAAUCGGAAUUACUGGGCGUAAAGCGUGCGCAGGCGGUUAUGUAAGACAGUUGUGAAAUCCCCGGGCUCAACCUGGGAACUGCAUCUGUGACUGCAUAGCUAGAGUACGGUAGAGGGGGAUGGAAUUCCGCGUGUAGCAGUGAAAUGCGUAGAUAUGCGGAGGAACACCGAUGGCGAAGGCAAUCCCCUGGACCUGUACUGACGCUCAUGCACGAAAGCGUGGGGAGCAAACAGGAUUAGAAACCCCGGUAGUCCCAU